UCUUUCUUUGCUGGCGACCGGCGCACGGGUGAGUAACACGUAUCCAACCUGCCCUUUACUCGGGGAUAGCCUUUCGGAAGAAAGAUUAAUACCCGAUAGCAUAAUGAUUCCGCAUGGUUUCAUUAUUAAAGGAUUCCGGUAAAGGAUGGGGAUGCGUUCCAUUAGGUUGUUGGUGAGGUAACGGCCCACCAAGCCUUCGAUGGAUAGGGGUUCUGAGAGGAAGGUCCCCCACAUUGGAACUGAGACACGGUCCAA
rnacentral:rRNA from 1 species